rfam:Oryza barthii chromosome 2, whole genome shotgun sequence.
UUUAAAUACAACCAUAAGUUUUCGUGUUCAACUUUAGUCGUCUGUCUUAUUUGAAAAUUUUUCGUAAUUAGUAUUUUUUUCUUACGAGACGAUAAAAUAUAAAUAGCACUUUAUGUAUGACUUAUGUUUUUAAUUUUUUUAAAAAAAUUUUAAACAAGAUGGACGAUUAAAGUUGGGCACGAAUACUCAUUCUUGCACUUAAA